rnacentral:lncRNA from 1 species
UUGCCAUUGAUCUCUGUUACUAGGAAUAAGGGAAAAAGCGAUCUCUUCUAAGCAUGCAUUUCUCCAUUUUACUGUGAAUAAGGGAAACGAAGAAUUGCAAGGCGAUAGAGUGAUACAGAUCUGUCCUCUUUCCCUUCCUAGAUGUCCAAACAACCAAUGUUGCUGUACAAUGAGGAUGAAACACUGAUUGCUUCUGUUGAGUAAUGAAUUGGCAGUGGCUUCAAGCAACAUUCUAAGGCCUUUAUGUCUUCAGGAAAUUUCUCAGGAGGUUUUACAGCUUCACUCUUCAGGGAAUUUCAUGAUGAAAACAGGAGUCUAUGUUUGAUUUGAAGAGGUUGCUCAGUUCAGAAAUGAAUGAAAGCAGCUCCACCUUGGGCAUUCACUAGACCUGUAUGUAUUUCCAUGGAACAUUAUGUUUACACAAGAGAAAGAUUCUUUUUCAAAACAUUCUCAGCUAUCCAUUCUUAUGUCCUAAUAUACAGAGGUAUAAUCGCUGC